rnacentral:miRNA from 1 species
GACGUCGAUAUUCGACGUCAUAAACACGAUCAACUUUGGUGUUUAUGACGUCGAUAUUCGACGUCAUAAACACGAUCAACUUUGGUGUUUAUGACGUCGAUAUUCGACGUCAUAAACACGAUCAACUUUGGUGUUUAUGACGUCGAUAUUCGACGUCAUAAACACGAUCAACUUUGAUGUUUAUGACGUCGAUAUUCGAGGUCAAACACGAUCAACUUUGGUGUUUAUGACGUCGAUAUUCGACGUC